AGUAACCUGCCCUGGAGUGGGGAAUAACAGCUGGAAACAGCUGCUAACACCGCAUAAUGCAGUUGGGCCGCAUGGCUCUGACUGCCAAAGAUUUAUCGCUCUGGGAUGGACUCGCGUCUGAUUAGCUAGUUGGUGGGGCAACGGCCCACCAAGGCGACGAUCAGUAGCCGGACUGAGAGGUUGGCCGGCCACAUUGGGACUGAGACACGGCCCAGACUCCUACGGGAGGCAGCAG
rnacentral:rRNA from 1 species